rnacentral:rRNA from 1 species
ACGAGAGGACCGGGAUGGACGUACCUCUGGUGUACCAGUUGUCCUGCCAAGGGCAUGGCUGGGUAGCUAUGUACGGAAUGGAUAAGCGCUGAAAGCAUCUAAGCGCGAAGCCAACUUCAAGAUAAGAUUUCCCACCGCAAGGAUAAGACCCCAGAAAGACUAACUGGUUGAUAGGUCGAAGGUGUAAGUGCAGCAAUGUAUUUAGCUUAUCGAUACUAAUAGGUCGAGGACUUGACCAAU